rnacentral:rRNA from 1 species
UACGUAGGCAGCGAGCGUUGUUCGGAGUUACUGGGCGUAAAGGGUGUGUAGGCGGUUUUCUAAGUUUGGUGUGAAAUCUCCCGGCUCAACCGGGAGGGUGCGCCGAAAACUGGGAGACUAGAGUGCGGGAUGGGAGAGUAGAAUUCCUGGUGUAGCGGUGAAAUGCGUAGAUAUCAGGAGGAAUACCGGUGGUGUAGGCGGCUCUCUGGGCCGCCACUGACGCUGAGACACGAAAGCGUGGGUAGCAAACAGG